rnacentral:tRNA from 1 species
AUUAUUAUAAGUUAAAAUAAACUAUUACUUUUUCAAAGCAACAAUAAAAUACUUUUUUUAAUAAUU